rnacentral:rRNA from 1 species
AGAGUUUGAUCAUGGCUCAGAUUGAACGCUGGCGGCAUGCCUAACACAUGCAAGUCGAACGGCAGCACAGCAGUAGCAAUACUGUGGGUGGCGAGUGGCGGACGGGUGAGGAAUACAUCGGGACCUGCCCAGACGUGGGGGGAUAACGUAGGGAAACUUACGCUAAUACCGCAUACGUCCUACGGGAGAAAGCGGGGGAUCAGCAAUGACCUCGCGCGGUUGGAUGGACCGAUGUUCGAUUAGCUUGUUGGUGGGGUAAUGGCCUACCAAGGCGACGAUCGAUAGCUGGUCUGAGAGGAUGAUCAGCCACACUGGGACUGAGACACGGCCCAGACUCCUACGGGAGGCAGCAGUGGGGAAUAUUGGACAAUGGGCGCAAGCCUGAUCCAGCAAUGCCGCGUGUGUGAAGAAGGCCUUCGGGUUGUAAAGCACUUUUAUCAGGAGCGAAAUACCACGGGUUAAUACCCUAUGGGGCUGACGGUACCUGAGGAAUAAGCACCGGCUAACUUCGUGCCAGCAGCCGCGGUAAUACGAAGGGUGCAAGCGUUAAUCGGAAUUACUGGGCGUAAAGCGUGCGUAGGUGGUUUUUUAAGUCUGCUGUGAAAUCCCCGGGCUCAACCUGGGAAUGGCAGUGGAUACUGGAAAGCUAGAGUGUGAGAGAGGAUGGUGGAAUUCCCGGUGUAGCGGUGAAAUGCGUAGAGAUCGGGAGGAACAUCAGUGGCGAAGGCGGCCAUCUGGCUCAACACUGACACUGAGGCACGAAAGCGUGGGGAGCAAACAGGAUUAGAUACCCUAGUAGUCC